rnacentral:misc_RNA from 1 species
UGCACCCCAAUUUGAUUCUCUGUCAACCUGACUUACUGGGUAUGAAGUCGAGAGAUCUCUUCCCCAUACCCGAAAUCGAGACGGUGGAGGAUUUUCUGCUUCUUGGUAGUUUCGACCUGAUGUACUUGGUGGGAUGAAAUAGAACCCAGUCUGAUCUGAUGAAGUGCACCCCAAUUUGAUUCUCUGUCAACCUGACUUACUGGGUAUGAAGUCGAGAGAUCUCUUCCCCAUACCCGAAAUCGAGACGGUGGAGGAUUUUCUGCUUCUUGGUAGUUUCGACCUGAUGUACUUGGUGGGAUGAAAUAGAACCCAGUCUGAUCUGAUGAAGAGGCCAUUGGUCCUACUUGAGACAAACCUCUGUGACUGUUGGAUCUUUGGGUUCCAGAAAUAAUGGGUGCACGAAUUGCUGUAGAAUUUCCAGGUUGUUGUUGAUAGUAAGCCUGAAGAGCUUGAACUCUAUCACGAGC